rnacentral:rRNA from 1 species
GAUGAACGCUAGCGGGAGGCUUAACACAUGCAAGUCGAGGGGCAGCAUAGGGUAGCAAUACUCUGAUGGCGACCGGCAAACGGGUGAGUAACGCGUAUGUAACCUACCCUGUACAGGGGGAUAACCCGGAGAAAUUCGGACUAAUAUCCCAUAAUAAUAUCCGGAGGCAUCUUUGGAUAUUUAAAGUUCCGACGGUACGGGAUGGGCAUGCGUAACAUUAACUGGUUGGUAAGGUAACGGCUUACCAAGGCUAUGAUGUUUAGGGGUCCUGAGAGGGUGGUCCCCCACACUGGUACUGAGACACGGACCAGACUCCUACGGGAGGCAGCAGUGAGGAAUAUUGGUCAAUGGGCGCAAGCCUGAACCAGCCAUCCCGCGUGCAGGAAGACGGCCCUAUGGGUUGUAAACUGCUUUUCCAGGGAGAGAAACUUACGCACGUGUUGCGUGACUGACGGUACCCUGGGAAUAAGCAUCGGCUAACUCCGUG